GAUUGCCUGAAAGACUGCAUAGCCUGGAUCCUGUGUUAAAACCUGUGGACGUACCUUAUUGGCUUCAAAACCUGCUUUACUCACUAACCUGCUCCAUACCAGCCUGAACACCUCUACAUUCCUGCUUGACUUCCAACUGGCUUAAUUCUAUACUGGGCUUUAAUGUGUUAUUACUUUGUGGCUACCUGCGUUACUCCUACAUUCCAGAUAAUAUUGGCAUCUACGAUAAAAGACCUGUUACUACAGUACAACCUCUAAUCCACAGAGACUGAACAGCUACAAACCAAUAUAAGUAACCUUUUAUAUUUCUGUUUAGUUAUGUUUUCCUGUAACUUAUUAUCUCCUUAAUAGGCUUUAAUUCUCUUGCUUUAUUUUUCACAGGUUUACCUGUUUCUUUAUAUCCUGUUCUGGGGCAUAUUGCCUAAGUCCUCUUUUCUGUUUCCCUCCAGUUUGUACCUGUAAUUUCUCUAAUCUUCAAUCUCCUACCAAUAACUUCAUUUAUAGGUUUACCUUUUUAACACUUUUGGGCUUAUUGUCUAAACCCUUUAUUUCAUAGCCUAGUUACUAGUUACAGAUAUUCGGUUCUGUCUCCUAUCUCUCUCUCUUUCCUAUAACUUCAGUUAUAGGAUUUCUUGUUAAUACUAUAAUAUCUAAGAUCUCAAAGACCUUGACGUUAACCCCAGUUUCAGUCUCAUCCCUGACCUGCACAAGAUCAUGACACUCGGGAGACUUCGCUGAACACAAAUAUUUGUUUCAAAACAGUAAAACUUAUUACAACAAUGGUACCAUCAGUAAAAAUGCUGUUUUGUGUGUGAAAAAUGCAAAACACUUCACUUUCACUGACCAUAUCAUUGCUGUGAUGUUUUGAAACCCUAUUAUUUGUGUUUAGCGAAAUCCCCUGGAGUAUAGGGUUUGGGGUGUCUUGGAAAGUUACAGGGUUAAAUACAGUGCUAGCAAAUUACAUUAUCUGGACUUUUGGCCUGGGUUGUCAGGGAGGUCCCUCAAAUUGCAAUCAAUAAACGAAUUAUGUAAAACUAUUACAUAAACAAGCACUUAGAAUUUAAAUAUAUAUACAUAUUUAUUAAGAUAUCUUGUAUAUCUGACGUCUACGUUUAAAUUUAUGAAAUUAUUCAUGUAAUUAUGUAUCUAGGUGUAUUUUGAUAUAAUUAUAUUAUUUUUUUUAUACAUAUAUAUAUAUAUACGUGUGUAAUUUUACUCAGUAUUUUUUAGCCUCAACUUUUUUUUUUUUUUUUUUUAUUGAAAUUAUUGUUUAAAGUUGACAAACAUUUAACAAGCAUGUUAAGCACGAUAAAUAUGACAAUAUAU